UCUGGUGAUUUAACGGAGGGGUCACACCUGAUCCCAUUCCGAACUCAGAAGUUAAGCCCUCUAGUGCCGAUGGUACUGCGCAAGCGGAAGAGUAGGUAGUCGCCAGAA
rnacentral:rRNA from 1 species